rnacentral:rRNA from 1 species
GACGAACGCUGGCGGCGUGCUUAACACAUGCAAGUCGAACGGAAAGGCCCUGCUUUUGUGGGGUGCUCGAGUGGCGAACGGGUGAGUAACACGUGAGUAACCUGCCCUUGACUUUGGGAUAACUUCAGGAAACUGGGGCUAAUACCGGAUAGGAGCUCCUGCUGCAUGGUGGGGGUUGGAAAGUUUCGGCGGGUGGGGAUGGACUCGCGGCUUAUCAGCUUGUUGGUGGGGUAGUGGCUUACCAAGGCUUUGACGGGUAGCCGGCCUGAGAGGGUGACCGGCCACAUUGGGACUGAGAGACGGCCCAGACGCCUACGGGAGGCAGCAGGGGGGAAUAUUGCACAAUGGGCGGAAGCCUGAUGCAGAAACGCCGCGUGCGGGAAGACGGCCUUCGGGGUGUAAACCGCUUUCGCCUGUGACGAAGCGUGAGUGACGGUAAUGGGUAAAGAAGCACCGGCUAACUACGUG